rnacentral:rRNA from 1 species
UACGUAGGGUGCAAGCGUUGUCCGGAAUUAUUGGGCGUAAAGAGCUCGUAGGCGGUUUGUCGCGUCGGCCGUGAAAACUUGGGGCUUAACCCCAAGCCUGCGGUCGAUACGGGCAGACUUGAGUUCGGCAGGGGAGACUGGAAUUCUUGGUGUAGCGGUGAAAUGCGUAGAUAUCAAGAGGAACACCUGCGGCGAAGGCGGGUUGCUGGGCCGACACUGACGCUGAUGCGCGAAAAGCCAGGGGGAGCGAAACGGGG